UACCGGAGGAUAUAUUUUAAUAAUAUUCUUUCAGUGUACAGUAUUUGUCUAAUGUAUACCCAUUAAAAGACAGCAAAAAUUACCAUAUGGUGAAGGGAUUAGGUGCCGGGCAGGAGAAGAAUGUUGACAUGUGAUUCCUGUCUAAUUGAAAUUUUGUCAGGCUGCCACUUUUGUUUUGAAAGAUUUGGACCGGAUGUUUUAAUGUUGUUGAUGCAGGCGAAAAGCAUGUUCUUCAAAACGUUUACUAGCUAGGUUACAUUUUUUUCUAAGAGUGUACGCAUUGGCAGUAGUAUAAAAUAUUAUCUAAACAUAAGUUAUAUUAGUAGUCUUCCAAAAUAAAACUAACGAUUAGAGGAUAACUUACUGCAUAAAGCUACAUAUAGCUGCAAUAGUUAGCUAAUUUUAGCUAACUCGCGCUCCUAAAAUGGCUCGAUAUCGAGAUCCUCAUCUCCCUCUGGCAUCCCUGCUCCUCCUGGUUCCUCCACUGAGGUUGAUGUCAGCCUGUAUGUGGCAGGUGGCCCAGGAGCGAGAUGUAGAUCAGUAUGACAAACUGGCUGGAUUCAUCACAUUAGUGACGGAGAUGGUCCCAGAGCUUCUGAGCUACAAGCAGAGGACUCAGCUCAUCCUGGGACUGAGAGCUCGUAUCAUUUUGGAAUAUCUAAAGAAGGUGGAUCCCAUUGACUGCAAUGCCAUCCAGGAACACCUCAGCAUUUUCCUAAAGAGUGCAACAAACUGCAAGGAGGAAGAGGAUCAAGAUGGAGAGGUGGACUUGUCAAAAUCGGCAUUUAUGGAGCUGGUUCAGACAUUACUCGAUGACAAAUAUGAAAAGGAUAAAUUUCUCAAGGAUGUAUUCCCAGCACUGUAUGGAGCACGUUUUGAUACAGUUCUGCAGAUCCUAGUGUGGGAGUUCUUCUACAGACUGGAAGAGUUUCUUCCAGUUCCAAGUUUCUCAAAGGUCCCCUCUUUGUUUGACCUGUCCUGCUUUGACCUCCAGUUUGAGCAGUUUGUCUCUGAUCACGACGAUCUGAGGAAGAUUCUGCAGCAUCAAAAGCGAAGACAAACGUUGACUAAAAGUUAAAGUCAAGGGCAACUGGACUUGGUUGAAGAUACUGGAAGACGUUUCGUCCCUCAUCCAAAGGACUUCUUCAGUUCUGACUGACUGGUGAAUUCUCCUUCAUGUCGGACACUAUCCUGUCCGCGCUUCCAUCUAAACAGACGUCUGUGGCAUCAGAUCACAUUGAUAGUGUAAGAGACAGAAAAGGCGGAGACUGCGGUGAUGAAGAAACUCAUCACAAUUUUGUUGAACCUGAUCCAUCAAACUCACAGUUGCAGGAGAGAGGGCUGUCACCACUCGCUUCUCUGUGUUCUGAAGAAGCUGGCGUGGCAGAUCAUGUCGGCAGCUUAGUCCGUCAAAGCACCUAUUGUUCCCUACCAGUCACAAUCACCUCAGAGGAGCCUGCAGUGGGCAGUAGCAGAGUCCAGGAGAGAUGCAGUGCUGGAGGGUUAAAGCAAAACGUGUGUUCCAGUGCAGAGGAAACUGAAAACCUCACCUGUCCUGUGUGCUGUAUGGGUUUUAGGAAACCAAUAGCAUUAAGACGUCAUCUAAAAGCUCAACGUUCGACGUUCAAGACGCUCCAGAAGCUGUACCACUGUGACAAAUACGAGAAGACUUUCCAGACAAAGCGUCGUCUGGAGCAGCACCUUCAAGCCCAUGCUGAAGUGAAACCGUAUGUUUGUUCCUACUGUGGCAAAGGGCUUCCGUGCCCGAAAGUGCUGAAAACUCAUUUGCGCCUCCACACCGGGGAACGUCCAUAUGCCUGCAAGUUCUGCGAUAAGAACUUCGACCAGGGUUACUCACUGACGCAGCACGUCAGAGUGCACAGAGGGGAGAAGCCGUACCUGUGUAGUGAAUGUGGAAGAGCCUUUUCCAACUCGAGCACUUUUCUAGUCCAUUCACAGCGGCACACGGGUGAAAGGCCGUAUCACUGCAAGGACUGUGGAAAGGAAUACAUCACACUGCAAAGGCUCAAAGUCCAUCAACGAAUUCACACAAACGACCGUCCAUUCCCCUGCCCCCAGUGUGGUAAGUGUUUCCGUUGCCAAUCGGGCCUCACUGAGCACAAAAAAAUUCACACCGGAGAAAGACCUUUUAAAUGUGUUGCGUGUGACAAAAGAUUUUACACAAAAAACAACCUGAAAAUACAUCUGCGAAGUCACAAGACCAUGAGAAAAGCUAAAGCAUCUACAGAGUGAUCUUUUCUGUGUAGACCUGAUACUUUACCAUCUCUCUGAUAUGUGGACCAUUUGAGCAUCUGGAUGUUUGAACAUUUCAAGUUUGUGUUUGCAUCUGGUACAAUAAUAAAUGUUAAGUUUGCCCCAGUCUUCAGUGCGUACAUGGUCCCUGCAGUCCCGUCACCUUCAAGUCUACAAGGUCGGCACAGUGAAGACCCUGCAACUCUUUGCCCCUUCCACUGUACGCUGAUUGCACAUCUGGAUUUUAAUAACAUUGUAUAAAGUUGUUUGCAAGUGGUACCGUACAUAAGCGAGACGAGCAGAGUUCAGUAAUCAUUUCUGCUGUUACCGCCGUUUGUUCAAUAAGGAAUGUCACAUUUUAUUGCCUCCUUGCAUAUGAAUAGUUUUUGUAUACAUCCCAGAAUAAAAUAAUUGGUAUCCGAUCAAAAGUUAUGGCCUCGUUAAAUGUAGUUGUUGUUCUUCUCCAGACUGGAAGAGUUCUUCUCAGUACCAUGUUUGUUUUUUUUCUCCUGGUAAGCAGCAGGUUAAUGACCUACUCAUUAAAGCAAAUCUAUUAUCCUGAAACCAUAUGAUCUGACAUAUGACAUGUUCUAUACCACCAAACUCAGUUUGAGCAGUUUGAGUCAUGGAGAUCUAAGAAUGCUUUAACAGAGAAAAAUGGCACUGUAUGGAAAAGGUGACCAACGCUCAGACUUAUGUUAUUAAAGUUUGUCUUUGUCCUGUUUGUGUACAGUCUGAACCCUGAAGUGUAUAUGAGCAAUUGAUAAAUUGAGUUUGGUGUUACUG